GAAGGUCCAGGGCUGAAGACCUUACCCGAUUAGCUGAGAGGUGGUGCAUGGCCGUCGUCAGUUCGUACUGUGAAGCAUCCUGUUAAGUCAGGCAACGAGCGAGACCCACGUCCACAGUUGCCAGCAUACCCUCCGGGGUGAUGGGUACACUGUGGAGACCGCCGCUGCUAAAGCGGAGGAAGGAGUGGGCAACGGUAGGUCAGUAUGCCCCGAAUCUCCCGGGCUACACGCGGGCUACAAUGGUUGGUACAAUGGGCAUCUACCCCGAAAGGGGAAGGAAAUCUCUUAAAGCCAAUCGUAGUUCGGAUUGAGGGCUGCAACUCGCCCUCAUGAAGCUGGAAUCCGUAGUAAUCGCGUUUCAACAGAACGCGGUGAAUACGUCCCUGCUCCUU
rnacentral:rRNA from 1 species